AGAGUUUGAUCCUGGCUCAGGACGAACGCUGGCGGCGUGCUUAACACACGCAAGUCGAACGGUAAGGCCCUUCGGGGUACACGAGUGGCGAACGGGUGAGUAACACGUGGGUAAUCUGCCCUGCACAUCGGGAUAAGCCUGGGAAACUGGGUCUAAUACCGAAUAGGACCACAGGACACAUGUCCUGUGGUGGAAAGCUUUUGCGGUGUGGGAUGGGCCCGCGGCCUAUCAGCUUGUUGGUGGGGUGAUGGCCUACCAAGGCGACGACGGGUAGCCGGCCUGAGAGGGUGUCCGGCCACACUGGGACUGAGAUACGGCCCAGACUCCUACGGGAGGCAGCAGUGGGGAAUAUUGCACAAUGGGCGAAAGCCUGAUGCAGCGACGCCGCGUGGGGGAUGACGGCCUUCGGGUUGUAAACCUCUUUCACCAUCGACGAAGGUCCGGGUUUUCUCGGGCUGACGGUAGGUGGAGAAGAAGCACCGGCCAACUACGUGCCAGCAGCCGCGGUAAUACGUAGGGUGCGAGCGUUGUCCGGAAUUACUGGGCGUAAAGAGCUCGUAGGUGGUUUGUCGCGUUGUUCGUGAAAUCUCACGGCUUAACUGUGAGCGUGCGGGCGAUACGGGCAGACUUGAGUACUGCAGGGGAGACUGGAAUUCCUGGUGUAGCGGUGAAAUGCGUA
rnacentral:rRNA from 1 species